UGGUUACUACGGGACGCAGCAGUCGAGAAUCAUUCACAAUGGGGGAAACCCUGAUGGUGCGACGCCGCGUGGGGGAAUGAAGGUCUUCGGAUUGUAAACCCCUGUCAUGUGGGAGCAAAUUAAAAAGAUAGUACCACAAGAGGAAGAGACGGCUAACUCUGUGCCAGCAGCCGCGGUAAUACAGAGGUCUCAAGCGUUGUUCGGAAUCACUGGGCGUAAAGCGUGCGUAGGCUGUUUCGUAAGUCGUGUGUGAAAGGCGCGGGCUCAACCCGCGGACGGCACAUGAUACUGCUUGACUGGAGUAA
rnacentral:rRNA from 1 species